GCCGAAGUGGUGGAAUUGGCAGACACGCUAGGUUCAGGGUCUAGUGGCCAAUGUGGCCGUGGGGGUUCAAGUCCCCCCUUCGGCACCA
rnacentral:tRNA from 1 species